AACGCACAUUGCGCCCUUUGGCAUUCCGAAGGGCAUGCCUGUUCGAGCGUCAUUAUCACCCCUCAAGCUUGGCUUGUUGUUGGGCCUCAGUUGUCAGCGACUGGCCCCAAAGACAAUGACGGCGUCUACGAGACCCCUGGUACGAUGAGCUUUUCACGAAGCACGUACUGCGGUGGGCUUGGGGACCCGGUCUCAACCACAUUUCCUAAGGUUGACCUCGGAUCAGGUAGGGAUACCCGCUGAACUUAA
rnacentral:misc_RNA from 1 species